CCGCCGCCCGGCCGAGGCCGCCGCCGCCGCCGCGGCGCGCAAAGAGGCGGCCGCGGGCGGGGAAAAGGGGCCUCGGCGGCAGGACCCGCCUUGUGCCGGCAACAUGGCAGCGUCCAGCCGAGCCCAGGUGCUGCGGCUCUACCGGGCCCUGCUGCGGGAGAGCCAGCGCUUCAGCGGCUACAACUACAGUGGUAAGAUUAAACUGCUUCACUGCACAGAGGCUCUGUCUGCAAGUUUAUCGAAUGACUUCUGUUUAUUGGAUUGGCACAUAACAUAUGCCAUCAGAAGGAUAAGAGACGCCUUCAGAGAAAACAAGAAUGUAAAAGAUGCUGAAAAAAUAGAAGAACUAGUGAAUAAAGCAAAAGCAAACCUAGAGAUUAUUCAUCGACAGGCUACAUGACAUUCUUCGUUGUCAAAGACUGACUCUGUUCUACUAUGACAUCCCAGUAUUUAGCAUGCUAGUGAUAAACAGUCCUCUCUGAACUCUUGUAGAUCAAGUUAUGGAAAGUCAGAACCAAGCACGUGCUAUAAGAAGUCGAAAAUCAAGUUUUGCAUAUAAAACUGCAGUGUAACAUCAGGUUACAGCUCAAGCCAAAGAAGUUAUAAUUCAUAACCCAUUUCUACAAAACCCGGCUAUUUUUUUCCAGUGAAAAUAGAAGUUAAGAUGUACUUUUGAACCUUCAGUUUGUUGGAAGCUGUGCGUGUUUCAUCCUGGUUGCAGGAAAAGCUUUGACAAGGCAAGGAAAGUAUUUUAAUAUUGCUUUCAAUGCUACCCUUGCCUAUCACAAUGAGAGAGAUGCCUGUUUGGUGGCUGUGUUUUCCCAUCCCAAGCCAGCUGCCUCCAGCUAGACCUUUCUUGAGGAAAAUCAAUCACAAGAUUGCAUAUUUAUCUCUUGGGAGAUUCAGUGUGUGUGAGCAAUAGGAACAAACACCAGUAGAAAUUCCCUAUUUCAGGUUUUUCACUGACUUUGAAAGAUUUCCUAUUGACCCUAGUAAUAUUUGACAACCAUAAAUAAAGAAAAGCAUUCUAAAAGCAAAGCAUUUUUACUAAUUAUUGGGCAUAAAAACAAAUUUCUUCUCUCAUAUAUAGGAUUGGUCCUCCAGAUUGAAUUUAUAAGUAUAUUGCUCAGACAAUGUAGAUAAUUUAUGAUACAGCCAGAGGUGUAAUUGUUCUGUGAAUAAAGAGAGGCUCUUAGCUUCCAGGCAUGUAAAAUGCUUUUCAUGAAUAUUAAGUAAACUUUAAUGACAGAAUAAAAGAGCAAACUGGAGGAUACUAGCUUAUAUCCUAUCUAAACCGGCCUACAGCCACAUUAAUGUUUGUGAAUAAUAGAUUUAGAAUAUCGCUAAAAUAACAGCAAGGAUUUCCUCCUUUUUCUCCAUACCCUUUUAACCGCUUUUUAAACAAAUAGUUGGAAGAGUGAAGGAUAUUUGCCUACAUACAAUUACUUUUCAUUUUUCUUUAAUGUCUCCUGUAAAUUGUAGUAAUCAGGGGUGUUUGAGAAGCAGUGAUAGAUUGCAGUUGAGACUAUUAAUUGCGGUGAGAUUGUACUAGUUCAGAUAGUUCCUAUGUCAGGUGCUUGAAAUAUUAGUUAUUUCAAGGACAAAAUGGAUUAUAAAUUAUGAGUAAAUCUGUACCAAGGUGAUUAAACCCACUUGUAAACUGUCAAACAUGGGUGCUGCUUUAAGUUGUAGGUUAGUCACUCAUGAACUGGAAAGGAGAUCAGGAAUUAAAUUUAGAGGUUAUAUGUGAGAAGUAACUGAGUUACUUCUGAGACUGAGCAUUUCCUGUGCUUUAUACCCUCUUAAUGAUUUUUGAUUAGCUUUAUGGUUAUUCUAGUCCACCAGCCUUCUAAUCUGAUGCUAGAGCAGUUGCUCUGGUGAGAACAUUGCUGCUAAAACAGAUUUACAAACUCAUUUGACCACUUGGGGGAGAUAAAAAAAAAAAAAAAACAGCAGAUCUGUGGAGCCGUCAUGAAAGUCACAAAUGCACUUACAGCUUCCUAAAAUUUCCACUCUAGCAGUAUGCCAUUACUAGAAAGUAGCAUUCUCAUUAAAACAAUAUUUUUUCCAGUAGGAUGAAAUAUGUAUUUCACUACAAGAGGCUUCUGAGGAGUAGUUCUUAUGAUCAUCAGUCAAAUAUUGUUUAAUGAAGGUUUGGAAUUGCUUAAUGGUUUAUUUUUGAGUUUUAGGGCAUAAGAAAUUGAAACAAUGGAAGCUGAAGAAUAGUUCAGUAGUUUAGAAGUACUAUUAAUUUGUUUUGGUGCAGCUAUUGAAUUUUGCCACGUGUUCACACUCUCAUGCACACUAAAACACUCAAAAAAAUUCCAAUACCCUGCAUAAGAAAUUAAACAAAAUUUGAAUGCCUAAACAAAGGGUAUAUCUUAAGCAGUGGGAAAAAAAGCAAUAAAAGAUAUUUUGCUAUUUAUUUUCUACUGUCAAAGUUCUUUCAUUACAAGCCUGCACCUUUCUUGCUCGUAUAUUGUCUGUGAUGUGUGGGUAUUAGCAGGAGAGUGUUAGCAGAAUUACAGGCAUUUUAAACCACUAUUUUUUACUCUUCAACUAUUACAUCUAAAA